CAGGAUUGGAUCGUGAUAAACAGUCCAAAUUCACUCCCUAUUAAAUCGCAAUCGGUUGGUCCAGAUUAAACGUGAUAGAUGGCUUAGAUCAAAAGUGAACAGGUAUAAAUAACCCCCAUCUACACCAAACCCUAACCCUAGCCGCUAGACCCUCUCGCCAGAGAAGAAGACCCGGCCGCCGGAAGGACACCGUCGUCAAUCGUCGCCGCACUGGAGCUUUUUCC
rnacentral:lncRNA from 1 species